rnacentral:rRNA from 1 species
AGUUGUAGAAUCACUGGUGAAUAAGGGGUGGGCAAGUUCUGGUGUCAGCCGCCGCGGUAAAACCAGCACCUCGAGUGGUCAGGAGGUUUAUUGGGCCUAAAGCAUCCGUAGCCGGUUGCAUAAGUUUUCGGUUAAAUCUAUGCGCUUAACGUAUAGGCCGCCGAAAAUACUGUGCAGCUAGGGAGUGGGAGAGGUACACGGUACUCGAUAGGAAGGGGUAAAAUCCUUUGAUCUAUUGAUGACCACCUGUGGCGAAGGCGGUGUACCAGAACACGUUCGACGGUGAGGGAUGAAAGCUGGGGGAGCAAACCGGAUUAGAUACCCGGGUAGUCCCAGCUGUAAACGAUGCAGACUCGGUGAUGCAUUGGCUUGUGGCCAAUGCAGUGCCGCAGGGAAGCCGUUAAGUCUGCCGCCUGGGAAGUACGUACGCAAGUAUGAAACUUAAAGGAAUUGGCGGGGGAGCACCACAAGGGGUGAAGCCUGCGGUUCAAUUGGAGUCAACGCCAGAAAUCUUACCUGGGGAGACAGCAGAAUGAAGGUCAAGCUGAAGACUUUACUAGACACGCUGAGAGGUGGUGCAUGGCCGUCGCCAGCUCGUGCCGUGAGAUGUCCUGUUAAGUCAGGUAACGAGCGAGACCCCUGCGUCUAGUUGCUACCAUUACUCUCUGGAGCAGUGGAGCGAAUUAGACGGACCGCCACAGUUAAUGUGGAGGAAGGAAGGGGCCACGGCAGGUCAGUAUGCCCCGAAACCCUAGGGCUACACGCGGGCUGCAAUGGUAUUGACAUGUGUUCCGAAUCCGAAAGGAGGAGGCAAUCAUCAAGCAUAUCUCAGUUAUGACUGAGGGC